rnacentral:rRNA from 1 species
AUUGAACGCUGGCGGCAGGCUUAACACAUGCAAGUCGAGCGGAGAUGAGGUGCUUGCACCUUAUCUUAGCGGCGGACGGGUGAGUAAUGCUUAGGAAUCUGCCUAUUAGUGGGGGACAACAUUCCGAAAGGAAUGCUAAUACCGCAUACGUCCUACGGGAGAAAGCAGGGGAUCCUCGGACCUUGCGCUAAUAGAUGAGCCUAAGUCGGAUUAGCUAGUUGGUGGGGUAAAGGCCUACCAAGGCGACGAUCUGUAGCGGGUCUGAGAGGAUGAUCCGCCACACUGGGACUGAGACACGGCCCAGACUCCUACGGGAGGCAGCAGUGGGGAAUAUUGGACAAUGGGGGGAACCCUGAUCCAGCCAUGCCGCGUGUGUGAAGAAGGCCUUAUGGUUGUAAAGCACUUUAAGCGAGGAGGAGGCUACUGAGACUAAUACUACUGGAUAGUGGACGUUACUCGCAGAAUAAGCACCGGCUAACUCUGUGCCAGCCGCCGCCGUAACAC